rnacentral:rRNA from 1 species
UACGUAGGGUGCAAGCGUUAUCCGGAAUUAUUGGGCGUAAAGAGCUCGUAGGCGGUUUGUCGCGUCUGCUGUGAAAACCCGAGGCUCAACCUCGGGCCUGCAGUGGGUACGGGCAGACUAGAGUGCGGUAGGGGAGAUUGGAAUUCCUGGUGUAGCGGUGAAAUGCGCAGAUAUCAGGAGGAACACCGGUGGCGAAGGCGGGUCUCUGGGCCGUAACUGACGCUGGAGGAGCGAAAGCAUGGGGAGCGAACAGG